AUCAUGUCUUCAAAUUUGCUCUGUUACAGGUUGUAGAGCAGCAGGUGCAGCAUCCCACUCACAUUCUUGGUGGCCUUGGAGACUUGUCCAACAUUCUUGACCUUUCCCUAACUUCUGACCCUUCACCACAUUCUUUCAAACUGUUUUCUCAAUUGUGGUCCUCCAGUCACAACCUCAUACCCACAUCCUGUCCUGUCACUCCAGUGCAGCCUCUGGACACACCAAAGCAAAGCACAACAAAGCCCCACCAGCCACUCACCCACUUGUCCUGCCAGCUCCAUGGUGAUCUGGUCUCCAAACACCUCCCAUGACACCUGCAGGUCCUUGUGUAGCUGCUCACAGUUUGGCAUGGAGUUACUGUGAGGCUGAGGAAGAAAAGAUAAGAAAGUGUGGUGUAAAGCUGUGCCCUGCUGCCUCUCAUGUGUGCUGUCAGUGCCCAGGACAAGUGUGUGCUGUGUACUGUGCCUGGAUGUAUGUGCCAUGGUUCCAUGUUACUACACACCCUCCCCCUCGCCUUGUAACCAGUCAUCUCCACCAUUAAAAGCCAGAAAAGGUA